UAGGGAAUCUUCGGCAAUGGACGGAAGUCUGACCGAGCAACGCCGCGUGAGUGUAGAAGGUUUUCGGAUCGUAUAGCUCUGUUGUUAGAGAAGAACGUUGGUAGGAGUGGAAAAUCUACCAAGUGACGGUAACUAACCAGAAAGGGACGGCUAACUACGUGCCAGCAGCCGCGGUAAUACGUAGGUCCCGAGCGUUGUCCGGAUUUAUUGGGCGUAAAGCGAGCGCAGGCGGUUCUUUAAGUCUGAAGUUAAAGGCAGUUGAUUAACCAAUGUACGCUUUGGAAACCGGAGGAUUUGAGCGCAGAAGGGGCGAGUGGAAUUCCAUGUGUAGCGGUGAAAUGCGUAGAUAUAUGGAGGAACACCGGUGGCGGAAGCGGCUCUCUGGACUGUAUCAGACGCUGAGGCUAGAAAGCGUGGGGAGAAAACAGG
rnacentral:rRNA from 1 species